rnacentral:rRNA from 1 species
AGGAUAAACGCUGGCGGCGUGCCUAACACAUGCAAGUCGAACGCCCUUUUCCUUCGCAAGAGGGGGGAGGGAGUGGCGGACGGGUGAGGAACACAUGGGUGACCUACCUUUCAGUGAGGAAUACCGGCGAGAAAUCGCCGACAAGACCGCAUAGCCUCGGUGCAAGUCGAGGAAAGCUCUCUCGAGAGAGGGAGCGCCACACGAGGAGCCUGCGCCCGAUUAGCUAGCUGGUGGAGUAAUGGUUCACCAGGGCGACGAUCGGUAGCUGGUCUGAGAGGACGAUCAGCCACACUGGGAUUGAGAACGGCCCAGACUCCUACGGGGGGCAGCAGUGAGGAAUUUUCGUCAAUGGGGGCAACCCUGAACGAGCAACGCCGCGUGCAGGAAGAAGGUUUCGGAUCGUAAACUGCUUUUCUCGGGGAAGAGAACGGACGGUACCCGAGGAAUCAGCCCCGGCUAACUACGCGCCAGCAGCCGCGGUAA